UAAUUAGAGAGAUUUUAGAGUCCUAUUAUUGGUAGCAAGAUCUUCCUCCUCCCUAUAAAUAGAGGUGCUCUCUACCAUUGUAAUUCACCCCUUUCAACUCAAUAAGAAGAACUCUCUCUACUCUUCUCUCUAUUGCUAUUGUUCUUGUUCUAUUGUUCUUGUCUUUUACUUUAGUUUAUAAUAUGUUUCUUUUAUUUGAGAGUUUUUACUACUUUUACUUGCAGUACUGCCUUGGUCAAAAUCUGGCCGUCCCAAUCAAGUCGAUCAGCAUCCUGCCCGUGCGGCAAAG
rnacentral:lncRNA from 1 species